GUUGUAGAAAAAUUUAAUCCCAAUCCGGGUUUGGAGGAGGAGAGAAGGGAGAAGUGGCCAUGGGUUAGGUGAGCCAUGAAAUGGGGCCCUGCAGGCUGGCCAAGUAGAGCUAAGAGCUGUCCAGAUGCAACAAAGUAGUAGCCAGGGGCUAUCGGUAGGAAAGCAGAUUCUAAUAACAUAGAGGGUAGGUAUCUGCCCAGCUCUAGCACUGACUAAGGCUUGAAAGUUCUGUGUGUCUCUUAUCUGGGAACUAAAUGGAAUAAGGCAAGGUAGAAAUCCCAAAUUGGGAUUUCUUUUUUACAACAGAGUGUCAUUAGCCCAAGCUAACUUUCUAUUAACUUUUAAUUAAAUGAUAUCUAUAUAUGUAUAUAUAUGUAACAUAUAAAAAUAUUUUUUAUGAUUCCCCCCGAUUUUACCUCCACAUUGCUGACAUUAAAGGCAAAUGGUGACGCCACUCCCAGUUUUAUGCUCUGUUGGGGACAGAACUCAGGCUUUAAUGCAUGGCAAGCAAACAAGAGAGCAGGCAGGCAGGCAGGCAGGCAGGCAGGCAGGCAGGCAGGCAGGCAGGCAGGCAGGCAGGCAACUCUAUCAACUGAGCUACAAUAGCUCCUAAAUAACACACAAGUUAUUUUGUUUGCUUGCCUGCCUGCCUGCCUGCCUGCCUGCCUGCCUGCCUGUCUUCCUUUCCCCCUCCCUUCUUUUUACAAAUUUAAAAAAAAGAAGAAAUCCAGAUACAGCCAGAUAGGGAUAAUGUUAAAGCCUGGGAGUAUAUUUGGAACAAAUAAAAAGUAGGAAUUAGUUUAUGUCUACAAUGUUCAGAACUCAGGAAGCUGAGGCAGGAGGAUUUCAAGAUCAAAGCCUACCUGAUGUAGGGAGCUUGUAAAUAACUUAAAAAUUUUUUAAUUGAACAAUUUACAUAUUUUGUUAUUUACAGCUACAGAGCAAGUAACGAUGGAAAGUUACUGAUUAAAUGAUUUUAAGGAUGUUAUUUUCCUGAACCAUGAACCAUGCAGGCAGAAUUGCAGAGAUCAACUCCUGGGGGGAAGGGGCCGGGGACACAAGAGAGGACAUAUCCUCCUUUCUCUGACAGAGGGUAUUUCCUAGUGGAACUGUAGUUUUGGCGCAACCAUGACAACACUUCCCCCUUAGAGUCACAGGAAGGUCGCAGCCCUUCCUCACCCCCACCCUACCUCAAGAGUGCCAGGACACAUCCAAACCUCUGGUCCUGCUGCUCACCUCCUGGCAGGAAGGUGGGAGCAUUGAUUCCCUCCAGAGAGAUUGAUUAUAACCUGUCAGCCAAACUAUGUCUGUCUGGGGAGGAGGGAUGGAUCUCUAAGCCCCAAAGUGAGGUCAGCCAGUGAACAGUUAGAAAAGCAAUCAUUUCUCACACUUACUAAUGGGUUUGACGCUUGUGAAACAUAAACAGGAAGUAGAAGCUUGAGCGACCUGAAGGAAAUGCACUCCCAGUUUGAUCAACAUGCGAAUCCCAGUCCUCCAGGUCGUCAGAACACUGACAAUGACGACUGACCCACCGAACUGCACCCAGUUCUAGCAGUGACCUCAUUUUCCCCCAAUUCCCCAGCCAGGUCACUCCGCAGCGGGUUGACUGACCCUAAGCACGGUAGGGAAGGUUAACAGUCAUCUCUCAACUCUCCGAACUUGCAGGGCAGGGGAGCGCAGAGGUCAGUGAAAUCCCCAGCCAGGCCUUAUUUUAGUCAUGAAUUUCCACUGGCCCCUUGCUGUGUGUCAGCGCCGCUCACAGCGCCGCAGGUUCUGCGUUUCAGAUGCUUUCCCAGCUCCGGGCUGUUAGAAGGUCAAAGAGACCAGAUUUUUCCAAUGCAGGUCGGUGGGGGUGGGGCCGGGCGGCCUCCGCGAGAUUGAAGAGAGCUGGGGCCCCUGGUGCUGCCCCUUUGUGCCCCGCGCACCGGCCUGUGGGUUAACCCCUACUACCUAAACCUCUUGGUUAGUAUUAAAUGAAAACUUUCUCAUCUUAUAUUCCCUGCCAGUGGCCCUGUUAGACUUUCUGCUGAAGGCGGUCUUCUGGUUGGCCUCGUUGGCUCCUUCCCAAAGGUCCUUGUAAAUUCAAGGUCAAAAUCCGUGUUUGCCACCUCCACUGUCUCCAGCCGCGAGCUCGACUGGGUAAAGGGCUCAGUGAACGUGUGCUGCAUAAAUGUGGAGAUUUCACUGUGAUCAACCAAGAGGAUGGGGCGGGAGGAGGGACCCGGGGGGGGGGGGGUCCUGCUUUCUCCUCUCUCCUGUCCUGGAAUAGACUGCAAACAGCGCCACCCAAGUUCCUGGUUAGCAGCGGGAUCCCUUGCAGCCCGGUGCGCGGGGGUCUAGGCUUGGAAGCCAGCGCGGAGAGGCUUGCAAGUGAGCGGAGCUCCGGCCCGCGUCCGGGCCACGUGAAGCGUCACGCCCCGCGCUGCUGCAGGGCAGGCGCCGUCGCCGCGGUUGUGUAACGCUGCAGCCGGAGGGGAGGCGACCCGGACGCCUC
ensembl:processed_transcript Gm17055 predicted gene 17055